GAUGCUGCUGCUGAGUUGGAUAAAGCACCACAAUGUGAAAGAAGUAUCAAGUGAUGCACAUUUCUUAAAUUAACAAGUAUAGUGUGCAGAUUUAGUUUGUUGUGAUGGGCUUCUUUGGAAAUUCAUGGUGAGCAGUUACCGCCAAACAUCCAGAAAGGAUAUGCAUAAGUUGCUCUGAAUCAGGUUGUCUCAUUUGUUGUUCCACACUCCCAUAGCCAUCUUCUUGUCCUCACAAACAGAUUUCGUAUUGGAUGCUCUAAAUGAUUCAAAGACGGGUGUUGUAGGGUUUCUCUUCAGUUAGCAGGCCCUGUUCGUUACACGACGUUUAUACAAUUGUCGCUCAGCUAAACAUUAUUAAUCAAUGAAUUGUUUAACGUUACCGGGUCAGCCUCCUUUCCGUUUUCGUAUGCCUAGCGCUACACUAAUGAUGUAUUCAAUGCACGGUCUUAGUCUUUACCAUCGCAACUAACCGCUACAGGCUUUUUUUUUUUUGCUUUGAAUACAUGGGGUAUAGAGAAAUCUGCUAUAGACGCACAUGAAUCGGACAAACCUCAAGUUCAAGAAACGAUUGAAUGUGCUAGGGGUAAUCGACAUGUUUCAGUAAUGCCCACCGGGUGUUUGUUAAUAUAUUUCAAUGAAUUUAGCCAUUAUUGUUUUUCAAAAAGCUAUGAUUAGUUUCUUACAUUAGAUAGCAAAACAUCUAAUCUCAUAGAAUUAUAGAAUUAUGAAUAAAAUGUUGGGAUGCUACAAUUUUUGGGCAGGUUAGUUAUUUAAAAAUACAGAGAUUGAAACAAGAAAUUUUGUUUUAUUCUAUCCUAUCAAAUAUGGCAGAAGAAUCUUUAUUAACAAAGUAAUAAUCUGCCCAAAUUUAUGAGAAAAUUGAAGCGUACAUGAAAAGAUAGUGAAAAUGCACCUUUCUCAUGGGUUUUAAAGUCAAUGACUAAUCGUGUGACUUUUUUUUUAUGUAAUUUUUUUAGGUUGAAAUCUUUUCAUGUUGCAAGGAGAUUGUUUAAAUAUGACACAUUACAAGGUGUUCAGAACGAGUCUUGAGGUUAAUGAACUAGAAAGAACAAAGAAGGAAGGAAAUGAAUAAUAUGUCCUUUGCUUAAUAAUCUUUGAAAUUCAGUUAUUUAUCAUGUAUCUUAAUUUGUAGUGACUAAUGUUUUUUCUUUCUUUUUAAUAUCUUACCAAUGGAAAAAAGUGACAACAUGAACUACAAUACUCAUAGGACGGUAUCUCUGAUGGAAAAAAAAGUGACAGUAUGAAGAAUUCCAAUGCUGCUAAGAUGGUACCUCAGAUUUAGCUUCCUUAUUUUAGAGGUGGUCUUAUGUUAACAAAUGAGUCAAAACCAGACAUUUUAGAUGUGGUCAUUAUUUUAAGAAAUGAGUCAAAUGAAGUAAUAUUAUAUCUUCUAACCAGACAGAU
rnacentral:lncRNA from 1 species